UGUAACUCUGUAAAAAAUAACCGUAUAGGUACAUUAUUCCAAGGUUAGGUACAUUGUUCAAUCAGAUUGGCCGCUGCGUGUCUAUUUCACGAAGACCCUCGCCCAUUGAUGGAAAUCGGGAUGGGGGGGGGCUUGAGGAGUCUAAGCCCGCUCGAAACGUAUACACAGAGAUAUUGGCCCCCUCGAAUCAAUCAGUAAUCAGUUGGACCAUUGAUUAUUAAUUUGCGAGGGACUAAUUUCGCUCUUUGCCGUCGCCUCAUUAUUAUUAUUCUUCCCGUCCGUCCG